rnacentral:rRNA from 1 species
UCGCCUGGUUUUUCAAAAACAUCGCCUCCUGCAAACAACGACGUAUAGGAGGUCUUGCCUGCCCAGUGACAAUGUUAAACGGCCGCGGUAUUUUGACCGUGCGAAGGUAGCGCAAUCACUUGUCUUUUAAAUGAAGACCUGUAUGAAUGGUGAAACGAGGGCUUAACUGUCUCCCUUUUCUAGUCAAUGAAAUUGAUCUGCCCGUGCAGAAGCGGACAUAAAAAUACAAGACGAGAAGACCCUUUGGAGCUUAAGAUAUAAAGAUCAUCUAUGUCAAUGGGCCCCAACACAGCAACAAACUAAAUAGCAACUGAUCUUAAUCUUCGGUUGGGGCGACCACGGGAGAAAAUAAAGCUCCCACGCGGACUGGGGUAAACCCUAAAACCAAGAAAAACAUUUCUAAGAAACAGAACUUCUGACCAUUAAGAUCCGGCUACACGCCGACCAACGGACCAAGUUACCCUAGGGAUAACAGCGCAAUCCCCUUUCAGAGUCCAUAUCGACAAGGGGGUUUACGACCUCGAUGUUGGAUCAGGACAUCCUAAUGGUGCAGCCGCUAUUAAGGGUUCGUUUGUUCAACGAUUAAAGUCCUACGUGAUCUGGUUAAAAAACCAGA